rnacentral:rRNA from 1 species
GGUUAAGCGACUAAGCGUACACGGUGGAUGCCCUGGCAGUCAGAGGCGAUGAAGGACGUGCUAAUCUGCGAAAAGCGUCGGUAAGGUGAUAUGAACCGUUACAGCCGGCGAUGUCCGAAUGGGGAAACCCAGUGCAAUUCGUUGCACUAUCGUUUGAUGAAUACAUAGUCAAACGAGGCGAACCGGGGGAACUGAAACAUCUAAGUACCCCGAGGAAAAGAAAUCAACCGAGAUUCCCCCAGUAGCGGCGAGCGAACGGGGAGCAGCCCGGAGUCUGAAUCAGCUUGUGUGUUAGUGGAAGCGUCUGGAAAGUCGCAGGGUACAGGGUGAUACUCCCGUACACUAAAACACACAGGUUGUGAACUCGAAGAGUAGGGCGGGACACGUGGUAUCCUGUCUGAAUAUGGGGGGACCAUCCUCCAAGGCUAAAUACUCCUGACUGACCGAUAGUGAACCAGUACCGUGAGGGAAAGGCGAAAAGAACCCCGGCGAGGGGAGUGAAAAAGAACCUGAAACCGUGUACGUACAAGCAGUAGGAGCCCACUUGUUGGGUGACUGCGUACCUUUUGUAUAAUGGGUCAGCGACUUAUAUUCUGUAGCAAGGUUAACCGUAUAGGGGAGCCGCAGGGAAACCGAGUCUUAACUGGGCGUUAAGUUGCAGGGUAUAGACCCGAAACCCGGUGAUCUAGCCAUGGGCAGGUUGAAGGUUGGGUAACACUAACUGGAGGACCGAACCGACUAAUGUUGAAAAAUUAGCGGAUGACUUGUGGCUGGGGGUGAAAGGCCAAUCAAACCGGGAGAUAGCUGGUUCUCCCCGAAAGCUAUUUAGGUAGCGCCUCGUGAAUUCAUCUUCGGGGGUAGAGCACUGUUUCGGCUAGGGGGUCAUCCCGACUUACCAACCCGAUGCAAACUACGAAUACCGAAGAAUGUUAUCACGGGAGACACACGGCGGGUGCUAACGUCCGUCGUGAAGAGGGAAACAACCCAGACCGCCAGCUAAGGUCCCAAAGUCAUGGUUAAGUGGGAAACGAUGUGGGAAGGCCCAGACAGCCAGGAUGUUGGCUUAGAAGCAGCCAUCAUUUAAAGAAAGCGUAAUAGCUCACUGGUCGAGUCGGCCUGCGCGGAAGAUGUAACGGGGCUAAACCAUGCACCGAAGCUGCGGCAGCGACACUAUGUGUUGUUGGGUAGGGGAGCGUUCUGUAAGCCGUUGAAGGUGGCCUGUGAGGGUUGCUGGAGGUAUCAGAAGUGCGAAUGCUGACAUAAGUAACGAUAAUGCGGGUGAAAAACCCGCACGCCGGAAGACCAAGGGUUCCUGUCCAACGUUAAUCGGGGCAGGGUGAGUCGACCCCUAAGGCGAGGCCGAAAGGCGUAGUCGAUGGGAAACAGGUUAAUAUUCCUGUACUUGGUGUUACUGCGAAGGGGGGACGGAGAAGGCUAUGUUGGCCGGGCGACGGUUGUCCCGGUUUAAGCGUGUAGGUGUGUGUUCCAGGUAAAUCCGGUUCACUUUAACACUGAGGCGUGAUGACGAGGCACUACGGUGCUGAAGUGACAAAUGCCCUGCUUCCAGGAAAAGCCUCUAAGCAUCAGGUAACAUCAAAUCGUACCCCAAACCGACACAGGUGGUCAGGUAGAGAAUACCAAGGCGCUUGAGAGAACUCGGGUGAAGGAACUAGGCAAAAUGGUGCCGUAACUUCGGGAGAAGGCACGCUGAUACGUAGGUGAAGUGGUUUACCCAUGGAGCUGAAAUCAGUCGAAGAUACCAGCUGGCUGCAACUGUUUAUUAAAAACACAGCACUGUGCAAACACGAAAGUGGACGUAUACGGUGUGACGCCUGCCCGGUGCCGGAAGGUUAAUUGAUGGGGUUAUCCGUAAGGAGAAGCUCUUGAUCGAAGCCCCGGUAAACGGCGGCCGUAACUAUAACGGUCCUAAGGUAGCGAAAUUCCUUGUCGGGUAAGUUCCGACCUGCACGAAUGGCGUAAUGAUGGCCAGGCUGUCUCCACCCGAGACUCAGUGAAAUUGAACUCGCUGUGAAGAUGCAGUGUACCCGCGGCAAGACGGAAAGACCCCGUGAACCUUUACUAUAGCUUGACACUGAACACUGGUCCUUGAUGUGUAGGAUAGGUGGGAGGCUUUGAAGUGUGGACGCCAGUCUGCAUGGAGCCAUCCUUGAAAUACCACCCUUUAAUGGCUGGUGUUCUAACGUGGGCCCGUAAUCCGGGUUGCGGACAGUGUCUGGUGGGUAGUUUGACUGGGGCGGUCUCCUCCUAAAGAGUAACGGAGGAGCACGAAGGUCAGCUAAUCCUGGUCGGACAUCAGGAGGUUAGUGCAAUGGCAUAAGCUGGCUUGACUGCGAGCGUGACGGCGCGAGCAGGUGCGAAAGCAGGUCAUAGUGAUCCGGUGGUUCUGAAUGGAAGGGCCAUCGCUCAACGGAUAAAAGGUACUCCGGGGAUAACAGGCUGAUACCGCCCAAGAGUUCAUAUCGACGGCGGUGUUUGGCACCUCGAUGUCGGCUCAUCACAUCCUGGGGCUGAAGUAGGUCCCAAGGGUAUGGCUGUUCGCCAUUUAAAGUGGUACGCGAGCUGGGUUUAGAACGUCGUGAGACAGUUCGGUCCCUAUCUGCCGUGGGCGCUGGAGAAUUGAGGGGGGCUGCUCCUAGUACGAGAGGACCGGAGUGGACGCAUCACUGGUGUUCGGGUUGUCAUGCCAAUGGCAUUGCCCGGUAGCUAAAUGCGGAAGAGAUAAGUGCUGAAAGCAUCUAAGUACGAAACUUGCCCCGAGAUGAGUUCUCCCUGACUCCUUGAGAGUCCUGAAGGAACGUUGAAGACGACGACGUUGAUAGGCCGGGUGUGUAAGCGCAGCGAUGCGUUGAGCUAACCGGUACUAAUGAACCGUGAGGCUUAACCUU